rnacentral:lncRNA from 1 species
CUAGAAUCUAUUGUGCUUUCAAUACUGUACAUGGGGAGAAGACACAUCCGGGGAACAGACAAUUUUGAUGGGAACAAACUAUAAACAAAAACAAUGAAUAAUGUUUACAACCCAAUGUGCUGCAGACCAGUCCAGCUGGUCUGGCCCUGUCCCUGACCAAGGCUCCUGAGGCUUUCACCUGGCUGUGACCGACUGAUGAUCCCUGACUCCACACAGACAUUUAUCACACACUUUUACAUUAUUAAGUUGUUUAUUUAAUUAGUUAUUUAUUUAUGUGGACUGUACACUGCAAUUCAGCUCUAAACUGCCAAUGUUGUACACCUUGACAAUAAACUAAAACAUUGUGAAUGGUAGAGUUAUGGUAUAGUACUUACCUGCUUUCGAAUCAUCAGACAUACCGUGGAUAAUUUAAUUUUACAAUACACUUUUGCAACCAUACCCAUAUGCCUAUUGCAUUGUUGGUGGAGUAGAGAGGUUAUUUCUUGGUGAUUUUUUAUUUCUAGAGCGGCUAUUUCUUUCUUGAUCAAGACCUUUGUUAAUCAAAUAGAUAACGUUGACGUACGACGCCUCCUGGCAACCAUGUUCAAAGACCACCGCAUUAAUUCUUCCGACAACAACAGCCGAGUUGCUACCCCAAAUUGCAUGAUAACAGUGCCUAAAUUGAUUCAUCUCCACGGUCAUUUUCUGUGGAUUAUUUCGCUGCUCUAACAAGGCAGUAAAGACAACGGGGAAAAUAUGUUUACAGAUUCCCCGCAAUCAUGAAACGCCAGUGAGAUAAGACUCAAGAACUGUCAGAAACGCGAAGAAACCUUUUUGCCCAUCAAGACCUGAACCCAGACAGCUGUCAGGGUCUGCUAAGAUCAUUUCAUCACUGGUUCACUAGCUGACCUCUAUCAAGACACCCAUGUCAACUGGAUUCCCACUGUGAAGAUGAGCAAUGCUGCAGCAGCAUGAGUUUCUACUUCUACUACUUUGUCCUUUUCCAGAUAUUUAAACAGACAUCUCUGUUAUAUGAGAUGGUAGUCAUAUGCUGUGCUUUGGUCAAUCUGAAUGAUUCUGUUGUGCCAUUUGAGUAGAGCACCUUUUUUAACUAGGCAAGCCAGUUAAGAACAAAGUCUUAUUUACACUGACGGCCUAGGAACUGCCUUGUUCAGGGGCAGAACGACAUAUUUUUACCUUGUCAGCUUGGGGAUUCGAUCUAGCAACCUUUCACCUUGUCGUCAUGACAAAAGUGCCCCCUUAAACCAUAGGAAUAUAAAAAAAAUAUUUGGAACGUGUAAAAUACUAUUGCUUAUGAUAUUGUAAACAUACUGUACUUUAAUAAUAGGCUAUUGUAUGGGUGAAAUAAAAAAUCUCUGCUUUGCCUAGCCCCAUUGAAUAAAAAAGUAUUUCUUAUAGCCCAACUAUUUUUUUUAUUUUACAAUUUAAACACAUUUAGCAUAGACAAUGUAAUUGUUGUGGUAGUCUUAGGCAAACCAUCUUCAUUAUCACAGUAGCGCCUCCAAGUGACACUCAGACCUUCUGGGAGAAAAGUAUCUGGCAUUGAACUUGGUGGUAGUAGUUGUAUGUUUGAAGAGAAGGAUCCAAUCAUCUCCUACUUCCAGACAUUUCACCACCUAGAUUACAAGGGUUGGAUUUGCACUAAACAAUUUCAUGUGAGCACAAGGCAUGUACCAAAUCUAGUAUAAUGAUUAGCCUCACAUUGUCUACUGGUAUUGUUUUUAUAUUGAGAACAUAUAGCUAAACAAUGUGAGUUAAGCUAUUCUCUACUUCAAAUGCACAAUGUCAAGGGGUGCAUUGCAAAUUCCCAUAAGGUUAAUGCCAUCAUACUGUAGGGCAGUGGUUCCCAACUCCGGUCCCCUAGUACCCCCAACAGUACAGUUUUAUUGUAGCCCCGGACAAACACACCUGAUUUAACUUGUCAACUAAUCAUCAGGCCCUCUGAGUUGAAUCAGGUAUGUUUUUCCGGGGCUACAGAAAAAAAUGUGCUGUUGGGGGGUACUCAAGGACUAGAGUUGUGAACCAUUGCUGUAGGCCUAUGGCUGCAUUGGCAUUGCAUUCCGUUAUCAGCUGCAAAAUGGGUUCACAUGGCUGAUAUCCUGAAAAAAUUAUGACAAUC